GAGUUUGAUCAUGGCUCAGGAUGAACGCUGGCGGCGUGCCUAAUACAUGCAAGUCGAGCGGCAACACUUCGGGUGACGAGCGGCGGACGGCAGAGUAACACGUAGGAAUGUACCCCAGAGUGAGGGAUAAGCACCGGAAACGGUGUCUAAUACCGCAUAACCUCUUCGGAGAAAAGCUUCGGCGCUUUGGGAACAGCCUGCGCAUGAUUAGCUUGUUGGUGAGGUAAAAGCUCACCAAGGCGACGAUCAUUAGCUGGUCUGAGAGGAUGAUCAGCCUGACUGGGACUGAGAACGGCCCAGACUCCUACGGGAGGCAGCAGUAGGGAAUUUUCCACAAUGGGGGCAACCCUGAUGGAGCAACGCCGCGUGCAGGACGAAGGCUUUCGGGUCGUAAACUGCUUUUCUCUGUGAGGAAUAUGACGGUAGCAGAGGAAUAAGGAUCGGCUAACUCCGUGCCAGCAGCC
rnacentral:rRNA from 1 species